rnacentral:rRNA from 1 species
UACGUAGGGGGCAAGCGUUGUCCGGAAUCAUUGGGCGUAAAGAGCAUGUAGGCGGCCCGAUAAGUCCGCUGUGAAAGUCCAGGGCUCAACCCUGGAAUGCCGGUGGAUACUGUCGGGCUCGAAUCCGGAAGAGGUGAGUGGAAUUCCUGGUGUAGCGGUGAAAUGCGCAGAUAUCAGGAGGAACACCAAUGGCGAAGGCAGCUCACUGGGACGGUAUUGACGCUGAGACGCGAAAGCGUGGGGAGCAAACAGG